GGGAGAAGGAGGGGAUACAGGUACUAAAUCUGUACCCGUGUAUGGAGACAAAAGUGUCGCCAAAAAGUCUCUUUUAGUCGUUGUGAAAACGGACGAAAUGCAAGUGUGACGCGUUAACCGCCCAAAGAGUGUACAAAACAACGCAAAACUAACAAUUCUCGCAACACACGCCGUCGAAUUCAGAAUCCAUUCCUCCUCGGCUUGUUGUUGACACCAACCGAGCUCCGGGCAGGCCACCGUUCGAUGAAAUCUGCUGAACGCCGCACUCAGACUCGAGCAGGCCCCGCAUGAAUAACACAACAGGCUACUGUAGCUCCACACUGCGCCGAGCACAAAAGGAUGGUGGGGGGAAGAAAAAAAAAAUCCUCAAAAAAAAAAAAAAACGCACACCGAAAGUCACAAGGGUCACAGGGAGCUGCAACCUACCCAGCAGACUGGGUGAAAGAUGGACUACAGUACUACAGUGAGUAUGAUAUAUCGAACUUACAUAUUUUAUAAAUUUUCAAUCAGAUUGAGAUCAGGGCUUUGCGAUGGCCACUCCAGAACAUUGACUUUUUUUUUUUUUAACCACUUUGACAGUCUAUUUUGGGUCAUUGUCUAUUUGGACGACCCAUUUGCACCAAUGCUUUAACUUCCUGGCUAAUGUUUGCUUCAGUAUUUCAAUAAGUGCACCAGUCCCCCCCUUUAACAAAACAACCACACAACAUGAUGCUGCCAUGCCAGAUUUCAAAGUUGGGAUGGUGUUCUCAGCCUUGCAAGUUUCACUCUUUUUCCUCCAAAUGUAACAGACCACAGGACAUGUCUCCAAAAGUUAAGGUCUUUUUUUUUCCCUGCGUGCAUUUUCAAACUGUAAUCUGUCUUUUUUAUGGUUGUUUUGGAGUAAUGGCUUCUUCAUCACAAUGUGGCCUUUAUGCCUAUGUCAGUACAAGUGCUUGUUUCACUGUGGAUAAUGACACAUUCUUACCAGCUUCAAAAAGCAUCUUCACAAGGUCCAUCCAUCCAUCCAUCCAUUUUCUGAGCCGCUUCUCCUCACGCGGGUCGCGGGCGUGCUGGAGCCUAUCCCAGCUGUCAUCGGGCAGGAGGCGGGGUACACCCUGAACUGGUUGCCAGCCAAUCGCAGCCUUCACAAGGUCUUUUGCUUUUUUUUUCUCGGGUUGAUAGGCACAUUUCGGACCAAAGCACGUUCAUCUCCGGAACACAGAACCCGUCUCCUUCCCGAGCGCUACAAUGGCCGGACAUUCCUAUGGUGUCUAUACUUGCGUAUAAUUGUUUGAACAGAUGAACGUGGCACCUUCAAGCAUCGGGAAAUUGCACCCAAAGAUGAACCAGACUUGUGCAAAUCCACAAUUCGCUUUCUGAGAUCUUGGCUGAUUUCUUUUGACUUUCCCAUUAUUUUAUACAACGGAGCGGUGUGAUUAGGUUUGCCUAGUUCAAAUAUACCCACAGGUGUGUCUCUAAUUAAGUCAAAUGUUGUCAAUUGACCUAUCAGAAGCGUCCAAAGAAAUUACAUCAUCAUCUGGGUUUUCUCCAAAUUUUUUAAAGGCAUAGUAAUCUUACUGUAUUUAAACUUUGAAGAAAGUAAUGAGACAUUUACGAAAAAUAAAUUAUUCUUUCCUUAUUCUGGCAUUUAGCAAACAGAUAUAAUUUUGCUAAUCCUAUUUGACCUAAAAGUUGAGUCUGAUUUUUAUGUCAGACAUUGAAAAAAAAACAACAACAAAAAACAGCGCAUGUCUUUAGUGUAUGUAAACAUCUGGUUUCAAAUGAUUUUGGGUGAAGUAUUUUUAGGCACUAGUUAUUGAUACUCAAGUAUUUAUUUUAUGGUAUUAUUUUGUGGCACAAGUAUUUGUGGUAUUAUUUAUUUGGUACAUUUUGUUCUGGUUGUGUAUAUGGGUCUGUGAGUGUUGGAAUUUUUUGGGAAGCUGUACAAUGAAAUGUUGUUGUGCCCUGUUUUUACUGUGCAAUGACAAUAAAGGCGAUUUAGACUUCA